AGUCAGAGUCAGAGAGCCGUGUCUCUGUGCAGUCAGAGGUUUUUGUACGGCGGCUCAAUGACUUUGUAUCACUGUGGUACACGUUUGGUGGAGGAACCAGACUGGAUGUUGGAAGUGAUGUGCGCCCCACCCUGAAGGUGCUGGGUCCCUCCAGUGAGGAGCUGCAGCAGGGGAAGGCCACGCUCAUGUGUCUGGCCAACAAGGGCUUCCCCUCAGACUGGAGGCUGUCCUGGAAGAUGGACGGCAGCAGUGGCAGCAUCAGAGGGGAGGAGAGCAGGACUCCCGCAGUGCUGCACAAUGACGGCCGCUACAGCUGGAGCAGCACCCUGACACUCACUGCAGACCAGUGGGAGAAGGUGGGCUCUGUGACCUGUGAGGCCACCCAGGGCUCCCAGGCUCUGGUCUCAGAGACACUGAGGAGAGACCAGUGUUUCCAGUCCUGAUGUGACUAAUCCUGCUCUUUGUUUACAGUCUGUGCUGUAACUCUUUCUGUCUGUUUCUCUUUUUUCUCAGACCAAAUAAAAUUUAAAUAUUUUCAUCUGA